rnacentral:rRNA from 1 species
UGGGGAAUAUUGCACAAUGGGCGCAAGCCUGAUGCAGCCAUGCCGCGUGUGUUAAGAAGGCCUUCGGGCUGUAAAGCACUUUCAGCGGGGAGGAAGGCGAUAAGGUUAAUAACCUUGUCGAUUGACGUUACCCGCAGAAGAAGCACCGGCUAACUCCGUGCCAGCAGCCGCGGUAAUACGGAGGGUGCAAGCGUUAAUCGGAAUUACUGGGCGUAAAGCGCACGCAGGCGGUCUGUCAAGUCGGAUGUGAAAUCCCCGGGCUCAACCUGAGAACUGCAUUCGAAACUGGCAGGCUAGAGUCUUGUAGAGGGGGGUAGAAUUACAGGUGUAGCGGUGAAAUGCGUAGAGAUCUGGAGGAAUACCGGUGGCGAAGGCGGCCCCCUGGACGAAGACUGACGCUCAGGUGCGAAAACGUGGGGAGCAAACAGG